UCUAGGAUUUAGCCAACAAGUUCAAUGGGGCAAAGUGGCCUUGGGCGUAAAACAUGAAGCCAUGUGAGAGGGGAGAAAUCAUAAAGCUCAUUUCAUACUUCAUUAUACAUUUCAUGGUCACAUGUCUAUUAUAUAGUCCUCACCUGAGACCAAUACCUCACUGUGCCGGAAAUUGCCUAUGGUGGUGGCGGAGGUCCAAAUGCCUCCAUACAUAUAUCAAUUUGUUUAUCUUGACACCCUCUCUCACAAUCUAACAACGAUUUCCUCUAAUUCCUACACAAGGUUCUGAAUCGAGCCAACAAAUCUAUAAACCCUAAGAGACAAAAUCCAAAAUUAAAUGAUGCUGAGGAGUUGAACGGAGCUCAACCCCUAGGGGUUUGACUCCCUUAUGAAGAGGCUACAUGGAAGCAACGAGUUUAAGAAAGAAAAUAAAUUGCAAAGGAUUAAUUAACCUACAUGAGUGACUUGGUGAUGUUGCAAGCGAAGGUGACGCAAAUGAUUCAAGAAAAUAUAGAAGAUCUUCAAUCCAGUAACCACUUCGACUCUCAAGUUCUUUUAGUUGGUCUCUAUGGAUGCCUUUCGAAUCUGCAGAAUUUGACAAGAUGGGGUGGAGCUUUUUUAGAGUUGUCUCAGUUUCAGAAUUUUCCCGAGUCAAAGAAGAUGACCCAAGCAGUUGCAGAACACCAGAAGAGACCUCGUUACAUGCUGGUACCGAGGGUAUGUGUGUGCAAUACAGGCUUCCAGUUCGCAUACCAAAUGUUAUACCUAUUGGAUGCUACUGGUUACUACUCACUAGCGCUACACGCACUUGGGAUUCACGUGUGCCGAGCCAGUGGACAAGAGCUGGUAAACAUUUAGUGUAUGGAAUUUGGAGAAGUCUUCAUUAUUUUGCAUACCAUUUACAAAAAUUAUAGCCGAAGCUAUGACAAGUAUAGCUUUUGUUUUACUAUGUUUUGCCUUUCUAACUUUCAUCCUUUGACACCAAAACUAUCAUAAGUCCCAAGAUGGGAUGUAUUGGUGUCCUGUCAACCUUUAGACUUCGAGUCCAAGCGUAGUUAAAUAACUUAUGAAAUGUGCAUAGUUAUCAUUUAAAAAAAUGCUCUUAAUUGGUUGUUGAGUGCUGUUUGUGUUAUUGGUCAAUGUGAGUGAAUCUGUUGUGUUGAGGUAUUUGUCAGUUUAUUGAUGUAUUUGUCGGUUUGUUGGUGUGUUAAAGUCGUUAAUAAGUGGUGUUUUGCAAUGCAAUCUAUCGACAUAUUAGCCUAUGUUUUCAGCUGUCACUAAUUUAAUGCCCAAUCCUUCCAAGAUGAUGGAACUUUGUUUCAGAUGUAAUGAGUAUGCAAGUCCACGACUAACCUCAUCAAGUUGUUUUGGAACUUGUUCUCUUGUGUGGUAGUUGUGCUUGACAAAAUGGACAUUAUAUUACUAUUUGUCUUACUCAAUAUGCAACUUGUGAGAUUUUUUUUGUCAAGAUAGAUGGACGCCUCUUCAUGUCAAGAUAGAUGGACGCCUCUUCAAGAUAGAUGGACGCCUCUUCAAGAAUUUCUAAGAUACGUAGCCGUGAACGUGAGAGACUCCGUGGUCCUCAAUGGAUAAAGACAUUACAGGGAGCAUUGCUCAGCUGUACAUACACUGUACUUGACUAUGCCCAAACCGGUUUGAUUGCAGCAGUUUUCUUCUUUAAAGUAGCCAAAGAAGGGGUACAGUUACCGCCAGACAGAACAGUUUGCCCCCUGUGCUUGCAGAAGCGCGUAAAUCCAUCUGUAAUUACGGUUUCAGGUUUCGUCUUCUGCUAUGCCUGUGUAUUCAAGUUUGUUACUCAGUAUAAGCGUUGUCCAGCAACGAUGAUGCCUGCAACAGUUGACCAGAUAAGGAGACUCUUUCAUGAUGUAUAGUCCCAGUUGGAGCUGCUAUAAACGAGUAGAUGAGUAAAACAUUCGCAAUGGUUGUUGCACUGAUCUAUGUUUAUUUUAGUGUUGGGAGAGGCAAGUAAGAAGCAUAAUGUUGUAGCUAUCUGUAGUAGUUAAUGUUGUAGCAUUGUUCAAUCUUCAACUCUUAUGAACAAACAUCUUCUAUGAUAGAGCUCAAUGUUUGUUCAUAAAUUUGUGUAAUUAAUGGGUACAUUUGUAGUAUAUGUAAUGACUUGUAAAUGUGUACAUAAAUUUGUAUAUAUUUUGAUACAUUCAAGGCAAAAUUGGUUUGAAUUGGUAUA